rnacentral:lncRNA from 1 species
AUGUCGGGGAAGCGGUCGGGCCUGGGCCGUUGCCGGCAUUUCUUCUGGCUGGGCGUCCUCUUCGACACCGUGGGCGUGGCGGUGCUCUUCACCGGCGUCUUCGCCGACCUGCUCUUCUACGACAUGCUGCUCUACCUGGGCUCCAUCAUCAUCUUCUUCAGUCUCCUCUGGUGGGUCUCCUGGUACACCGGCAACAUCGAACUGGCCUCCGAGGACCCCGCGCCCAAGGCCGCCCGGUCCCGGUCGGGCUCCGUGGUGGAAUCGUUACGCCGGAGCGUCAGCAUCCGCUUCUCCCAGACCUUCGAGAGCUUCUCCCAGACCCUGGAGCUGCUGCGGCGGCGCCGGAGGGGGCGCUGGCCCAGGUUGAACUUGAGGAGUGGCUCCCAGAUCUUGGUGGUCCCCGGCUCGCCGGCAUGGGGGAGGAAGGACCCAGACUGGAGGCUGCGCGUCGCGGACGUUAGCCAAGGGGAUCUGGGCCCCUUGCCUGAAGGUGACGGAAGUUCCGAGGCCGUUGGCUCCUUGGGGCUUACAGCUGCGGGGAGGACCCAUCUGGAGCGGCCUGUGUUCCCUGUGGAAUCCAUAGAACUGCGGCCGCCUUUUCCCGUCCUGCCCUCCAGGAGCCAGCCUGUGAUUUCCUUGGUCUCGACUCUUCAGCCUUGCGCCCUUCCUGCUUCUAAGAGCGAGUUUGUCGUUCCCUUGCCCUCUGGAAGCCAGCCUCCAGAUGCCCUCCCCUUGACGAGCCAGCCAGGRGCCCCUGUGGUCGCCAAGAGCCAUCCACCGGUGCCUGGGUUCUCCCAGGGCCCCUUCCAGGUCCCGGUGGCUGCUGAAAGCCACCUUCUGGUACCUGUGGCCUCUCAGAGCCAGGCUCUCCCUCCGCCCCGUCAAACUCGACCUUUCAGUGUUGAGGAUUCUGGAAGCCAGGCUCUGACGCCCCAGGCCUCUGAAAUGCCACUUCCGUCUACCCAGUCUUUUCAGGACGUGGACCUACAGUCCCGUCCGAGUAUCGAGGACUUUGUGAUCCUUUAUCGCUCCCACCAGUUCUCCAGCACGUUAGUCCCGAUUUCUGCAAGUCAGUCUUCAGCUCUCGUGGAGAUUUCUAAGAAGAUAGUGGCUCAGGUGUUUGAGAGUCUGAAACUACCCCAGAAACUGUCUCAGGAGUUCCCUGACACUAUGUCACCUGUCCCUGAGGCUGCAGAUCUAGCCGCUGAGUCCCGGCAGUCUCUCCCGACUCACAGCGCAGGUCCAGCCGCUGAGUCCAGGCAGCCUCUCCGGACUCGCAGCGCAGAUCCAGCCACGGAGUCCCGGCAGUCUGUCCCGACUCAUAGCACAGAUCCAGCCACCGAGUCCCAGCAGUCUCCCUCGACUCGCAGCACAGAUCUAGCCACGGAGUCCCGGCAGACUCUCUCCACUGACAGCAAUUUAGCUCUGGGGGCAGCAAAGAAAAGUCACCCUUUUUAG